CCGAGUUUACAACUCCCAAACCCCUGUGAAACAUACCUUAUAUGUUGCCUUCGGCGGAUCAGCCCGCGCCCCGUAAAACGGGACGGCCCGCCGCAGGAUACCACUAAACUCUGUUUUUAGUGUAACUUCUGAGUAUACAAAAACAAAUAAAUCA
rnacentral:misc_RNA from 1 species